rnacentral:misc_RNA from 1 species
GUGAAUCAUCAAAUUUUUGAACGCACAUUGCACUCGCUGGUAUUCCGGAGAGUAUGCCUGUUUGAGGGUCAGUUUAAAUAAAAAUCGGUGUGGGUGCUUCCUGUCGUGGUGACGCACCGGAUUUGGGUCGUCUUGCCUUGGGUUAAGCGUCCUCAUAUUUUGCAUGGUUUUUUCGAACGUAUUUAAAUGAUUUUACGUACGUUUGCGAUAUAGC